UUGAGUCAUGUGACGGCAGGUUGGAAGAGUGAAGAGUGUAUGUCUGCAGUAUGUGUGACGUUCUGGACUUUUCCAUGUGUUCCAAACUCCCAUAUCUGGGAGUCCCAUAUUCCGGAUUUCUGAACUUGAACAGCGUCUGGAGUCUCUGUCCUCAUCCUGGAGGCAAAUAACACUUUUCAGGAGCUGGUCUUCCACAGAUUAGAAGCAUACAGACAGAGAGGGAAUGGGUGACUGCCAGGCUAAGAGAAGCAGGCAGAUAGUGCAGGAGUCACCUGAGUCUGUCUUACUUGCUAAUUGGUAUUCCAGUUGGAAACUAGUGAGGGUGAUGGUUCCUCAGGAGAAUUCAAACAGAGUCAAUACCAUGGCACCAUGGGUAACUCAGUCGGAAAAAAAAAUUGAAAAGCAACAGUUACAGGGGAGUCCAUAGUCUUGGGAUCAGUUGGGCAUUUCUGUAGCAGUAAACAUAACCCAAAAAUGGGGUGUUGCCUUUCUGGCGUGCCACAGUCCAAUAAUGGCGUGGAGCAGCUGCAAGAAUCUUACUGUUUAAGAACAUUUGCCUUAGCAUCGGUAAAUCUGUGUGAACAGGACACCAAGUGAUAACAUUCACACUGUGGGAGCGCCAUCAGCCAAAAGCUGUGGCCCACUUUAACGCUAAUGAUGGAGGUCAGGAGAGGGAUGAGGUCCUGAAGACACAUGUCAGGGUGUUAAGAAGGAAAUUUCCAAAAAAAGUCUUGAUCAGUAAUCCCGGGAAAGUCCCAGGAUUACUCCCAGUGCCAUGUGCUAGUGAGCAUUAGAGCAGGAAGAUGAGUUGAUUGAGCACGCAGCUGGAGAACUGGUGCAGGGGGAAGGGUAUCAGCUUUCUCAGGAAUUGGCACUGGUUCUGGGACAAGUGGGAUCUGUGCAAGCUGCAUGUGUUACACCUUAAUGGGACUCGGAUUGGGACUGUGAUCCUCACAGGAAGUUGAAGUGUUGUUGGAGUGGAUUGAAACUUAGUUGUUGGAUGAUGGGAAUGUGAAGUGUAACCCAAAUUGGAAGAAUGUAAAAUUGGAAACAGGAAGUUGAAAAUAUGCAAGAGGAUCUAGAAGACAGGAGGGACAAUAAUGGGAUAAGGGGCAGUGGAAAGGUGAAGGCAUACCAAUGCAGAAGUGAAGAGGGCAUCUUCAGUGUUUGAUACGAGCAGACUAACUUUGGUUGUGAAUUGGUUACAAUGGCAGAAAAGUGCGGAAACAAGGAUUUGAUGUGCCUUUUUUGUUAAUACAGAAAAGCAGGUGGUCCUGUGGAUGCUGGUCCAGAAUACCAGAAGAACAUGGAGGAUGAGAUUGCCAAGUUGCAGCGGCUCUAUGGGGGAGGAGACCUCACCAAAUUCCCAGAUUUUAAAUUUGAAGAACCGAAAUUUGAUGAAGUCAGCAAGUGAGUGAUGACCUUCAGAAAGGAAAAGAUCAGCUGUUCUUUGAUAUUACCUGGGACUGUAAAUGUAAUUUAAUAAAUUCCACUGCACUAAA